CUUGGACCUAGAUUCAGACUGU
rnacentral:miRNA from 1 species